AUUGAACGCUGGCGGCAGGCCUAACACAUGCAAGUCGAGCGGAUGAAGGGAGCUUGCUCCUGGAUUCAGCGGCGGACGGGUGAGUAAUGCCUAGGAAUCUGCCUGGUAGUGGGGGAUAACGUCCGGAAACGGGCGCUAAUACCGCAUACGUCCUGAGGGAGAAAGUGGGGGAUCUUCGGACCUCACGCUAUCAGAUGAGCCUAGGUCGGAUUAGCUAGUUGGUGGGGUAAAGGCCUACCAAGGCGACGAUCCGUAACUGGUCUGAGAGGAUGAUCAGUCACACUGGAACUGAGACACGGUCCAGACUCCUACGGGAGGCAGCAGUAGGGAAUAUUGGACAAUGGGCGAAAGCCUGAUCCAGCCAUGCCGCGUGUGUGAAGAAGGUCUUCGGAUUGUAAAGCACUUUAAGUUGGGAGGAAGGGCAGUAAGUUAAUACCUUGCUGUUUUGACGGUACCAACAGAAUAAGCACCGGCUAACUUCGUG
rnacentral:rRNA from 1 species